rnacentral:misc_RNA from 1 species
UCGUGAUCACGUCCCUUCCCUCAUUCGUCGAAAGGAGCUGAAACAUCUCAACAGUAGCUAACAUUAGCUACAGUACACACGAAGUAAAAGUGCCAGUAAAUACACGGUAUUUUCUAGAUAUGAUUCAGUAAGAAGCAUGGUGGUAAACGCGUGCCGUCGGUCGAAGUCACUGUUUUUGGCUUGAACAUCUUUGCUAAAUAAAUGUGGCGAGCAAGAUAAUGAUGCGGAAUACAGGAGAAGAAAGGCGUAUCGCUACGUGGUGGAUGGGUGGUGUCGCCUCAGCUGGUGCUUGUUGCUUCACGCAGUGCCUUGACACAGUGAAGGUUCAAAUGCAAACCCAACAAGAAGUUCGCCGCACAAUGUUACAAACAACAAUGGACAUAAUUCAUUCAGAUGGCAUUCUUGCUCUAAAUAAUGGACUGUCAGCUGCUAUAAUGAGGCAACUUACUUAUUCCACCUUCCGCUUUGCCUUUUAUGAGGCUGUGAAGCAACGCAUGGACCCUAAAGGAAAUAAUGUUCCUUUCCACCUUAAAAUAGGAAUAGCAGCAGUUGGUGGUACAAUUGGUGGUUUCAUUGGAACACCAGCAGAUGUAAUAAAUGUUCGUAUGCAGAAUGAUAUGAAACUUCCUCAAAACCAAAGGAGAAAUUAUCGACAUGUAUUUGACGGGCUGGCACGCAUAUACAAAGAAGAAGGCAUGCAUGGACUUUUCUCAGGAGCGACUAUGGCUACUGGUCGAUCGAUAUUGAUGACUGUGGGUCAACUAACUUUCUAUGACCAGUGCAAAGGCAUGCUAAUGUAUUAUUUAGAUCUCAAAGACAACAUUAGCACCCACUUCCUAGCAAGCAUUGUGGCGCAUCCAAAUGGCAAUCAGGUUCUCUGCAUCAAGUAUCUGCAGUGUCACAUACAUGGCAGCUCCACUUCACCAGAGAACAUGUUGCUUUCUGAUUGGUCACAAGACUACUGUGGACUUGACAGACUGGUGGAUCAUGUUUCUAAAGUGAUCCAUCUGUUUCCAGAUACUGUUUGUAUAUUGAACAGAGCCCAGCUGCCUGCACAGCAUCCAAUUUAACUAGUCAAGAGGGAGCAGUGGCUACUACACUAACUCAACCUAUUGAUGUGCUCAAAACACGUACUAUGAAUGCCCGACCAGGAGAAUUUAAGAGUAUGUGGCAUAUUAUUCUGCACACAGCUAAGUUGGGGCCACAAGGCUUCUUCAAGG